CUGCAAGUCGAACGAACCGAGGGGCUGUUGAUCGGGUUUCGGAAGGGUUCGUCCCGGAAGAGCCCGUGAGGUUCCUUGGUUAGUGGCGAACGGGUGAGUAACACGUAGGUGACCUGCCCCGAAGAGGGGGACAACCACUGGAAACGGUGGCUAAUACCCCAUGUGGUCCCGCAUUCGUUUGCGGGAUUAAAGGCUCCGGCGCUUCGGGAGGGGCCUGCGGCCUAUCAGCUAGUUGGUAGGGUAAUGGCCUACCAAGGCGAUGACGGGUAGCUGGUCUGAGAGGACGGACAGCCACACUGGCACUGAGACACGGGCCAGACUCCUACGGGAGGCAGCAGUGAGGAAUAUUGCGCAAUGGGGGAAACCCUGACGCAGCAACGCCGUGUGGGCGAAGAAGGUCUUCGGAUCGUAAAGCCCUUUUCUCCCGGACGAGAAAGG
rnacentral:rRNA from 1 species